rnacentral:tRNA from 1 species
AUUCUAUUAAAUUAGAAAAUAAUAGAUUUCUAUAUCUAUCUAUUUAAUAUAGAUAUAGAAUA